GAUGAAGAACGUAGCGAAAUACGAUAAGUAAUGUGAAUUGCAGAAUUCAGUGAAUCAUCGAAUCUUUGAACGCACAUUGCGCCCGCCAGUAUUCUGGCGGGCAUGCCUGUUCGAGCGUCAUUUCAACCCUCAAGCCCCAGCGGCCUGGUGUUGGGGACCGGCGACCUCGCCCGAGCCCGCCCUCCGGGGCGCGUGCCCGGUGCGUCCGCCGCCCCCGAAAUGAAUUGGCGGCCUCGUCGCGGCCUCCUCUGCGUAGUAGCACAACCUCGCAAGCGGGAGCGCGACGCGGCCACUGCCGUAAAACGCCCAACUUUUUUAGAGUUGACCUCGGAUCAGGUAGGAAUACCCGCUGAACUUAAGCAUAUCAAUAAGCGGAGGA
rnacentral:misc_RNA from 1 species